rnacentral:rRNA from 1 species
GAUGAACGCUGGCGGCGUGCCUAAUACAUGCAAGUCGAGCGAACAGACGAGGAGCUUGCUCCUCUGACGUUAGCGGCGGACGGGUGAGUAACACGUGGAUAACCUACCUAUAAGACUGGGAUAACUUCGGGAAACCGGAGCUAAUACCGGAUAAUAUAUUGAACCGCAUGGUUCAAUAGUGAAAGACGGUUUUGCUGUCACUUAUAGAUGGAUCCGCGCCGCAUUAGCUAGUUGGUAAGGUAACGGCUUACCAAGGCAACGAUGCGUAGCCGACCUGGGAGGGGGAUCGGCCACACUGGAACUGAGCCGCGGUCCAGGCUCCUACGGGAGGCCGCAGUAGGGAAUCUUCCGCAAUGGGCGAAAGCCUGACGGAGCAACGCCGCGUGAGUGAUGAAGGUCUUCGGAUCGUAAAACUCUGUUAUGAGGGAAGAACAAAUGUGUAAGUAACUAUGCACGUCUUGACGGUAACUAAUCAGAAAGCCCCGGCUAACUACGUG